rnacentral:rRNA from 1 species
CCUACGGGAGGCAGCAGUGAGGAAUAUUGGUCAAUGGACGAGAGUCUGAACCAGCCAAGUCGCGUGAAGGAUGACUGCCCUAUGGGUUGUAAACUUCUUUUAUAAGGGAGUAAACCGCGGCACGUGUGCCUUUUUGCGUGUACUUUAUGAAUAAGGAUCGGCUAACUCCGUGCCAGCAGCCGCGGUAAUACGGAGGAUCCGAGCGUUAUCCGGAUUUAUUGGGUUUAAAGGGUGCGUAGGCGGCCUUGUAAGUCAGCGGUGAAAGUCUGUGGCUCAACCAUAGAAUCGCCGUUGAAACUGGGGGGCUGGAGUAUGUGUGAGGCAGGCGGAAUGCGUGGUGUAGCGGUGAAAUGCAUAGAUAUCACGCAGAACCCCGAUUGCGAAGGCAGCGUGCCAAGGCAUGACUGACGCUGAUGCACGAAAGCGUGGGGAUCAAACAGGAUUAGAUACCCUUGUAGUC